CUGGAGGUAUCAGAAGUGCGAAUGCUGACAUAAGUAACGAUAAAGCGGGUGAAAAGCCCGCUCGCCGGAAGACCAAGGGUUCCUGUCCAACGUUAAUCGGGGCAGGGUGAGUCGACCCCUAAGGCGAGGCCGAAAGGCGUAGUCGAUGGGAAACAGGUUAAUAUUCCUGUACUUGGUGUUACUGCGAAGGGGGGACGGAGAAGGCUAUGUUGGCCGGGCGACGGUUGUCCCGGUUUAAGCGUGUAGGCUGGUUUUCCAGGCAAAUCCGGAAAAUCAAGGCUGAGGCGUGAUGACGAGGCACUACGGUGCUGAAGCAACAAAUGCCCUGCUUCCAGGAAAAGCCUCUAAGCAUCAGGUAACAUCAAAUCGUACCCCAAACCGACACAGGUGGUCAGGUAGAGAAUACCAAGGCGCUUGAGAGAACUCGGGUGAAGGAACUAGGCAAAAUGGUGCCGUAACUUCGGGAGAAGGCACGCUGAUAUGUAGGUGAAGCGACUUGCUCGUGGAGCUGAAAUCAGUCGAAGAUACCAGCUGGCUGCAACUGUUUAUUAAAAACACAGCACUGUGCAAACACGAAAGUGGACGUAUACGGUGUGACGCCUGCCCGGUGCCGGAAGGUUAAUUGAUGGGGUUAGCGGUAACGCGAAGCUCUUGAUCGAAGCCCCGGUAAACGGCGGCCGUAACUAUAACGGUCCUAAGGUAGCGAAAUUCCUUGUCGGGUAAGUUCCGACCUGCACGAAUGGCGUAAUGAUGGCCAGGCUGUCUCCACCCGAGACUCAGUGAAAUUGAACUCGCUGUGAAGAUGCAGUGUACCCGCGGCAAGACGGAAAGACCCCGUGAACCUUUACUAUAGCUUGACACUGAACAUUGAGCCUUGAUGUGUAGGAUAGGUGGGAGGCUUUGAAGUGUGGACGCCAGUCUGCAUGGAGCCGACCUUGAAAUACCACCCUUUAAUGUUUGAUGUUCUAACGUUGGCCCGUUAUCCGGGUUGCGGACAGUGUCUGGUGGGUAGUUUGACUGGGGCGGUCUCCUCCUAAAGAGUAACGGAGGAGCACGAAGGUUGGCUAAUCCUGGUCGGACAUCAGGAGGUUAGUGCAAUGGCAUAAGCCAGCUUGACUGCGAGCGUGACGGCGCGAGCAGGUGCGAAAGCAGGUCAUAGUGAUCCGGUGGUUCUGAAUGGAAGGGCCAUCGCUCAACGGAUAAAAGGUACUCCGGGGAUAACAGGCUGAUACCGCCCAAGAGUUCAUAUCGACGGCGGUGUUUGGCACCUCGAUGUCGGCUCAUCACAUCCUGGGGCUGAAGUAGGUCCCAAGGGUAUGGCUGUUCGCCAUUUAAAGUGGUACGCGAGCUGGGUUUAGAACGUCGUGAGACAGUUCGGUCCCUAUCUGCCGUGG
rnacentral:rRNA from 1 species